ACUAGGAUGUGUCAUUGGCCAUUGUAGUUUGCCUUUGGCUAAGUGCAAAGUGCAACAUGGACUGUGGACAGCUACCUACGGGUUAGUUGGGAAAAAAAACAUCAAGAAGAUUUUAAAAUUCAGCAGUGCAAGGUAUGCAAGAAAGAAUGAAAGAAAACUGCUGUAGCUACGUGGUGUGGUUAUUUCUGCAUAUUUCAGAGCCUGCCCUACGAAUCCAAUUUAAAAGCUAAAACAUAUUGAAGUUUUUGAAAUCAACAUGAAUACCUGUAGUUCACAUGCUUACAAAUUCUUCCACUAUCGAGAUACACAGAUUUGCUAACUAUUCAUCCACUAUUUGUGCAUAAUAUACAAAUCAUUUGAUUGAAUAUUUCAUACUUUUCUGUUUUAUACUUUUUCUGUAACUUCUGGGUCCUGAUGCAGAUGCUGAAGUAGAUAUUGUACUGAACUCUCUUGUUAUAUAGCUCUUGAGAGUCACUAUAAAGAGAAUUAGAAAUGCUAGCCAUGGGCAGUCAGGUCCUUCUUAUGUUUGGUGAUGUUCAGGGAGUAGAAGACAUUUCUUUGUGGCAGUACAGUCAUGGUUAAGAACUACGAGCAUAGCAAAUAUCGGAGGGAAUCAGGAAUUCUGAAGUAUCUGAAGUUAGUGCAGUUGACUUCUUCUUGGUGGGCUAAUGGGUAUCAUCAUCAUUCUACAAGACAAUCAUGAGUUGCGGACCAUGUCAAAAACCUACAAGGCUUUUCCAGCUGCCAUCAGCCGAGCAUAAAAGGAGCCGCACCCCUACCUUUAACACCCACCAGCUCCCGAGAACAGCAGCAGUAGCGUUAACUAUGCCAAGACUUAUGCCUGUCCUCAUUCUUAUUUUCCUAAUUCUUCUUUUCGAGACAUCCUCAAGCCAAGUUCAGAGCAUUGAGGAUGGAAUAGAACCUGGACACUUGCUGAGCAAGAUGCAUGCAAGAAAGGCUCUGGUGGAGGUCACACUGGAUUAUGACAAUGGAGGAGCUAACUCCAAACAUGACCCCAGGAAGGGGAAGCCGGGGAAUGGUGGCAAGAAUCCAUAACUCUCAUUUGCCCCAUCCCCCCAAUUGUGUGGCAAUCACUAAGAGACUAGUCUAUUUUUAUCUCUUCUCUCUCUCUCUCUCUCUCCAUAUAUAUGUGUGUGUGUACCACUGAACAAAGCUAUAGAGAUUAUGAUCCCAUGCUGUGAUUUUUUUAUGGGCAUAGACUUGUUUUGGGUACGGAAGUUGCAUAAAAACCAGUAUGCUUGUUAUUGAGGCGGUGGUCUGUUGUUGAGAUCAUAUACUUGCUCUCUCAUGUCCUCUCCCCUUGAUGAAUGAGUUUCCUAAAUAAACUGAAAG